rnacentral:rRNA from 1 species
GGGGUGGCUAUUCUCCAAUAUGCAGACGAUACGGUCGUGUGUUUUGAGCAUGAUAAAGAAGCAACGGUUAAUCUGAAACUCUUGCUGUAUUUGUUCGAACUUAUGUCAGGGCUUAAGAUUAAUUUUCUGAAGAGUGAAGUUCUGUGCAUUGGAGGGGAUGAUGAGGUUCUUGCUUUUCAUUCUGAACUUUUUAAUUGCCAGAUUGGCCAUUUCCCUAUGAAAUACUUAGGGGUACCUGUGAGCUAUUCUACCCUCCGUGCGAUAGACUGGGAUUUUGUUGAUGACAAAUUCCUCAAGUGUUGUGAAUCCUGGAUUGGUAAUGCGGCCUCCUCAGGAGGGAGAUUGACCCUUCUCAACUCCUCCCUUACGAGCAUCGUGUUCUACUACAUGUCUAUGUUUAUGCUAUCUAAGAAGAAUAUUGAGAAACUAGAUAAGCAUAGAAAAAAGUUCUUUUGGCAAGAGACUGAUGGUCGGAGAAGAUAUCACUUGGUCAGGUGGUCUAGGAUAUGCAGGUCUAAGAAUAAAGGGGGUUUGGGAGUUAAAGACUUGCACAGACAAAACAUCAGUCUCCUCACCAAAAUGGUGGUGGAAGCUGGAAACCCAACAAGGCCUCUGGCAGGAGAUAAUCCGUGCUAA